rnacentral:rRNA from 1 species
CCUUUUAAUUGGAGGCCUGCAUGAAUGGCUUGACGAGCGCCCUGCUGUCUCUCUUCCCAUGAACUUUUAAAUUAACUUUCGCGUGCAAAGGCGCGAAUGGCUGAGUUAGACGAAAAGACCCUAUGCAUCUUUACUGAGAGAGAAGAAAGUUCUUUAGCUUGGUUUAGCUGGGGCAGCUGAGGAAAAGGCAAAAUUUCCUUAAUAUAAAUCAUACUGGUGGGUUUAGAUCCAGGCUCUUUAGCGGGCUUGACAAGUAGAAAAGUUACGCUAGGGAUAACAGCGUUAUCCUUCUGUGGAGGUCUUAUCUGCAGGAGGGAUUGCGACCUCGAUGUUGAAUUAGGGAUAUACCAGAAAGGCGCAGAAGCUUUUAUUGUGGGU